UGGAUAGGGGUUCUGAGAGGAAGGUCCCCCACAUUGGAACUGAGACACGGUCCAAACUCCUACGGGAGGCAGCAGUGAGGAAUAUUGGUCAAUGGACGAGAGUCUGAACCAGCCAAGUAGCGUGAAGGAUGACUGCCCUAUGGGUUGUAAACUUCUUUUAUAUGGGAAUAAAAUGUUCCACGUGUGGGAUUUUGUAUGUACCAUAUGAAUAAGGAUCGGCUAACUCCGUGCCAGCAGCCGCGGUAAUACGGAGGAUCCGAGCGUUAUCCGGAUUUAUUGGGUUUAAAGGGAGCGUAGGUGGAUUGUUAAGUCAGUUGUGAAAGUUUGCGGCUCAACCGUAAAAUUGCAGUUGAAACUGGCAGUCUUGAGUACAGUAGAGGUGGGCGGAAUUCGUGGUGUAGCGGUGAAAUGCUUAGAUAUCACGAAGAACUCCGAUUGCGAAGGCAGCUCACUGGACUGCAACUGACACUGAGGCUCGAAAGUGUGGGUAUCAAACAGGAUUAGAUACCCUGGUAGUCCACACAGUAAACGAUGAAUACUCGCUGUUUGCGAUAUACAGUAA
rnacentral:rRNA from 1 species